rnacentral:rRNA from 1 species
UGGGGAAUUUUGCACAAUGGGGGAAACCCUGAUGCAGCGACGCCGCGUGAUUUAGAAGGCCUUCGGGUUGUAAAAAUCUUUUCUAUGGGAAGAAAAUGACAGUACCAUAGGAAUAAGGACCGGCUAAUUACGUGCCAGCAGCCGCGGUAAUACGUAAGGUCCGAGCGUUGUCCGGAAUCAUUGGGCGUAAAGGGUACGUAGGCGGGUAAGCAAGUUAGAAGUGAAAUACUAUAGCUCAACUAUAGUAAGCUUUUAAAACUGCUCAUCUUGAGGUAUGGAAGGGAAAGUGGAAUUCCUAGUGUAGCGGUGAAAUGCGCAGAUAUUAGGAGGAAUACCGGUGGCGAAGGCGACUUUCUGGCCAUAACCUGACGCUGAGGUACGAAAGCGUGGGUAGCAAACAGG